rnacentral:rRNA from 1 species
AUUGAACGCUGGCGGCAUGCCUUACACAUGCAAGUCGAACGGCAGCACGGGUGCUUGCACCUGGUGGCGAGUGGCGAACGGGUGAGUAAUACAUCGGGACAUGUCCUGUAGUGGGGGAUAGCCCGGCGAAAGCCGGAUUAAUACCGCAUACGAUCUACGGAUGAAAGCGGGGGCCCUUCGGGCCUCGCGCUAUAGGGUUGGCCGAUAGCUGAUUAGCUAGUUGGUGGGGUAAAGGCCUACCAAGGCGACGAUCAGUAGCUGGUCUGAGAGGACGACCAGCCACACUGGGACUGAGACACGGCCCAGACUCCUACGGGAGGCAGCAGUGGGGAAUUUUGGACAAUGGGCGAAAGCCUGAUCCAGCAAUGCCGCGUGUGUGAAGAAGGCCUUCGGGUUGUAAAGCACUUUUGUCCGGAAAGAAAUACUUGGCUCUAAUACAGUCGGGGGAUGACGGUACCGGAAGAAUAAGCACCGGCUAACUACGUG